UAAACAGACGUCUUAAUCGUCUCAGACUAUAUUAAUUCGUCUAAUACAAAUACGAGUAAACUUGAUUUAAUCGAGGGGCAAUUCACUCCAAAAAUCCCGUACACUUCGUCAAAAAAUCCGGAAAAAAUCCAGAAAAAAUCCAUGAAAUCCUCAAAAUCCAUUGAAUCCAUCAAAAUCCAAAAAAUCCUUUAAAAACCACAGAAAUCCUUCAAAAAUCCACAGAAAUCCUUCAAAAUCCUUAAAAAAUCCGCAAAUCCACAAAAAAUAUAUGAAGUACUUGGUGUAAUUUACUCGUAAAGGUUCUUUGCCACGUUCAAAAUGGCGGACAGCGAAAGCUAAAUGCUUACCGUGAUCGCUGUCAUUAUAUUUCGUAAUUAUUGGACCACUCUACAUUUCCAUUUAUACGCUCGAGUAUACGCUAAGUUUUUUUAGCCUAUUACUACUAAAUAUGUGUUCUUGUUACAAUGACGUUAUGUUGUAAAAUAUAAUUACAAAACCAAAAGUUAUUCACCAUUGUCUUUUACUGCUUUUGAAAGAAUAAUGAACUUGUUUGAAUUUUAUACAAAUUGACUGCAUGCACAGCCUUCGUUAAUAGUUUCAGAAGGCUGUGGUCCUAGUCCCAGUCCUCUGCUCGACCCUGACGUCC